AAACCGGUGCCAACCUUAAAAAAAAAUAAAAUAAAAUAAAACAAAGAAAGCAAUAGAGUUGGCACUGGUUCGCCUUAAACCGGUGCCAACUAUAGUAAUUAGCACCGGUUUGAACCGGUGCCAUUUUUUUUUAAAAAAAGCCCGGUUUAAGGCGCGUCUUCUUCUUCAUCAUUUCCUUGCUAUUUCCUCUUCGUUCUCAUCUGAUCUGCCUCUCUCUCUCCUCCAUUGUAGCGUACUCGAAUUUCUCCAUUGAAGGGGCUUCUGAGCUUUCCUAACACUCUAUCUCUCUCCUUCGAUCUCCUUCUCCAUUAAAGGCCUCCAUUCCUAUUUCCUAAGUCUCUGAGUUAUUUCAUUGAAGCGCACUCAAUGUUCUCCAUUGAAGCGUUCUCCGUUGAAUCUAAUUCUUGUAUCCCCCAUUGAAGCGGCUUCUAAGAUGGCAUUUAGAGGUAGAGGACGUGGGAGAGGAUUUGGUGGAAGUGACUUCAAGUUUGUGGAGCCAGAAUCUUUUGUACUUUUUCCGGAUAUUGAGUUGCCUGACAGAAACAAUGUUCCUGAAGAGAAGGGUUUAGCAUUACGUAAUUUUAAGUUUCAGAACUACUUUCAAAGCUCACCGUACCACCUUGAGGAAACAUUCUCUGGUGAAGAAGUUGUAGACAUUGAGAGAUAUUCUGAUAAGGUCAACAAAAAAAAAUUUGUAUUAUCGUGUUGAUGCCAGUCAAUGACAGAUUACUACUCUGGCUUGAAACUAGAGUAUUUCAUUGAAGGUGUAUAAAUUAUUAUUUGUAUGUCUCUUUGUUCUGCUAUCAGAUAUAAAGAUUUGGAUAAUAGUGUUGUUGACUUGUUAGCUCAUCUUUAAGCAGCUCUCAGUUCUCAGUUUCUUAUACUCUUACACUACACAGAAUUGACCUUUCCUGGUUUGUUAUGUACAAUAUGCACAUAGAAAAUGUGUUCAGCGCUGGUGCAAUGAGAAAGGGGACAUAACAUGUGAGAUAUGCCACCAGGUAAUGGACAUAUCAGACAUGAUGCAUGCAUAUUUUGCUAAGAUCAAUUAUGGGGAGCCCGAAGCUCCCUCAUCGGCCGUGUUUGAUGAUUCAGCUGGUCGAACAAGAGUUGAAAAUACUACUGCUGCUGAUCAAACAAAUUUCAGUUUAAGAAGCCACCAUAAAAGAAAAGGGGAGUAUGUGCCUUUUUCUCUGUCUGGUGUAGUGUUUUUAUUGAAUACGGUUCCUUGGCUUUACAUUUCCUCUUCAUUUCUGUUCCUAGACUACUUUCAUGCAUGACCUAAUAAAAUUUAAAAUUUUCUUUUUGGGAUUUAAGAAGUUGUAUAAUAAGUCACUUUUUUGGGACAAAUUUCUUCCACGUGUAUUGUCUUUAUGAUCUUUAUUGAUUGGAUUUUUUACUGAAGCAAGGACUGCAAUCAUCUAGGAAAGAUUGAUGUUACAAAUGCUGACUCUCUUUGUGACAGUCAUGCACUGAAAGUUAUGGCAGAGUCGGUCAUUUUUCGAAGUUCAGAUUUGGAAGAGAAUUCCUCGAUGGGGGUGCACAGCAUUUUCAUUUGUGAUUUUCCUUGAAUAUAUUAUCUUCUUACCAAUUGAGACUUUGCUUACAGCUAGGAGCAAGGCUGCUUGUGGUCUGACUAACAACCCAAAGGAACAAGUAGCUGACAUUGAUGCAUCUGAUGUUGAUAAUGGGUUAGCUGUGGUUGAAUAUGUUUUAGUUUAGUCAUGGUUCUUGUUGGAAGUAGCAAGGGAUUGAUGAAUUGCUCUUGCUUUUGGUGGUAGAAUGAGAGUCGGCCUUGUGACUACAUGAAUUCGCAACCCGAAAUCAACGACAAAAUGAGGGCUAUCUUAGUUGAUUGGUUGAUUGAAGUGCACAACAGAUUUGAGCUUAUGCCUGAGACCCUUUAUCUGACCAUUAACUUGGUUGAUCGGUUUCUUUCGUCGAAAUCUGUCCCAAGGAGAGAAUUGCAGCUUCUGGGUAUUGGUGCUAUGUUGAUUGCCUGCUCGUAUGAGGAAAUCUGGGCUCCUGAGGUUAAUGACUUUGUGAGCAUAUCAGAAAGGGCAUACAGCAAUGAACAAAUUCUGAAAAUGGAGAAGGCCAUACUAGGCCAGUUAGAAUAGUACAAAAAAAAAUUGCUACUGGGUUUUUGUUGUUGGCGCUCUACUGGGUUUUUAUUGUUGGGAUAACUUGCUAGUUGCCCCUUUAUGCUGUAUUUUCGUUCCUUGCUUUGAUUUUUUUUGGACGAAAAUUGUAAUAUUACAGCCUUUUUUUAAUGAAAAUAUGUAACUU